UACGAAGGGGACUAGCGUUGUUCGGAAUCACUGGGCGUAAAGCGCACGUAGGCGGAUUCGUAAGUCAGGGGUGAAAUCCCGGGGCUCAACCUCGGAACUGCCUUUGAUACUGAGGAGCUUGAGUCCGGGAGAGGUGAGUGGAACUGCGAGUGUAGAGGUGAAAUUCGUAGAUAUUCGCAAGAACACCAGUGGCGAAGGCGGCUCACUGGCCCGGUACUGACGCUGAGGUGCGAAAGCGUGGGGAGCAAACAGG
rnacentral:rRNA from 1 species